rnacentral:tRNA from 1 species
UGCCGGGUCGUCUAACGGCAGGACGUCGCUCUUUGGAAGCGACUAUCUAGGUCCGAAUCCUAGCCCGGCAGCCA